UAUCAAUAAGCGGAGGAAAAGAAACUAACUAGGAUUUCCCUUAGUAACUGCGAGUGAACAGGGAAAAGCUCAAAUUUAAAAUCUGGCAGUCUUUUAGCUGUCCGAGUUGUAAUCUAGAGAAGUGUUAUCUGCGCUGGACCGUGUACAAGUCUCCUGGAAUGGAGCAUCAUUGAGGGUGAGAAUCCCGUCUUUGACACGGACUGCCAGGGCUUUGUGAUGCGCUCUCAAAGAGUCGAGUUGUUUGGGAAUGCAGCUCAAAAUGGGUGGUAAAUUCCAUCUAAAGCUAAAUAUUGGCGAGAGACCGAUAGUGAACAAGUACCGUGAGGGAAAGAUGAAAAGAACUUUGGAAAGAGAGUUAAACAGUACGUGAAAUUGCUGAAAGGGAAACGCUUGACGUCAGUCGCGUUGCCCAGGGAUCAUCCCUUGCUUUUGCUUGGUGUACUUUCUGGUUGACGGGCCAGCAUCAAUUUUGAUUAUUGGAUAAAGGUCAAGGGAAUGUGGCAUCUUAGGAUGUGUUAUAGCCCUUGGUUGCAUACAAUGGUUGGGAUUGAGGAACUCAGCACGCGCCGCAAGGCAGGAUUUUUAUAAUCACAUACGUGCUUAGGAUGCUGGCAUAAUGGCUUUAAUCGACCCGUCUUGAAACACGGACCAAGGAGUCUAACAUACCUGCGAGUGUUUGGGUGGAAAACUCAAGUGCGUAAUGAAAGUGAAAGUUAAUAUCCCUGUUUGUGGGGGAGCAUUGACGCCCGGACCAGACCUUUUGUGACGGUUCCGCGGUAGAGGCAUGUAUGUUGGGACCCGGAAAGAUGGUGAACUAUGCCUGAAUAGGGUGAAGCCCAGAGGAAACUCUGGUGGAGGCUCGUAGCGAUUCUGACGUGCAAUUCGAUCGUCAAAUUUGGGUAUAUGGGUCGAAAGUCUAAUC
rnacentral:rRNA from 1 species